GGUUCUGUAGUGUAGUAGUUAUCAUGUCUGCUUCAUACACAGAAGGUCCUGGGUUCAAUCCCCAGUAGAACCA